GGCUGUGAGAGUGAUCUGGGUGUGACAUCUAUCACCCCAUUGAUUGGCAGAGUUAACUCAGCUGAUUUAGCUGACUAUGUAGGUGUCUUCUUCCUCCCUCACUGCUACGUGUGUCCCUCCUAAACCUGCAUGCAUGGUGGAAGGGGACAACCAUCCUAGAUAGGAUGUAUACACAGAUCUUUGGUCAAGGAGGUACAACACAUACAUAGGGGGAGGGGAAUGCAGUAUCAAUUCUGAUUGGUCUUCAUCCCUAUCUGAAAUAGACCAAUGGCAGCC
rnacentral:sRNA from 1 species